GUCCCUGUAGCGCAAUGGAUAGCUUUUUGGACUUCUAAUUUAAAGGUCAUGGGUUCGAAUUCCACCUGGGAUG